AUCCAGCUGACGAGUCCUAAAUAGAACGAAGCGCGCUUCUUGAAU
rnacentral:hammerhead_ribozyme from 1 species